AACAACUAUUGGAACGCAGUGAAAAAUCAGUGUAUUUGGGGCAGUAUGAGAAAACUUUUUGGUUAAUCGGGAAGACAAUUGAAGAAAAAAUUAAAUAUUAAAUCACUCAUGUAAAUCAGAAUAUAGAAAAAGUGUGUUGUGAGAAACAUAAAAAUAUACUUAUAUGUACAUAUGAAAAGUUAUAUUAAAACUGAGACGUAAAAUAUACUCGAGUUAAGCAAUUGGGUAACUUCGUUGGCUUUGACGCUGAUAUUUGGAAAGUUCUGAUCUACACUUUCGUAGAACAGUAUAAAGUCAAGAAAAUUGACGGUGUUGACAAACCAGAGGCUGGCAGCAUAAUUAAUUUAC